UAGGGAAUCUUCGGCAAUGGGGGGAACCCUGACCGAGCAACGCCGCGUGAGUGAAGAAGGUUUUCGGAUCGUAAAGCUCUGUUGUAAGGAAGAACGAGUGUGAGAAUGGAAAGUUCAUACUGUGACGGUACUUAACCAGAAAGGGACGGCUAACUACGUGCCAGCAGCCGCGGUAAUACGUAGGUCCCGAGCGUUGUCCGGAUUUAUUGGGCGUAAAGCGAGCGCAGGCGGUUAGAUAAGUCUGAAGUUAAAGGCAGUGGCUCAACCAUUGUAGGCUUUGGAAACUGUUUAACUUGAGUGCAGAAGGGGAGAGUGGAAUUCCAUGUGUAGCGGUGAAAUGCGUAGAUAUAUGGAGGAACACCGGUGGCGAAAGCGGCUCUCUGGUCUGUAACUGACGCUGAGGCUCGAAAGCGUGGGGAGCGAACAGG
rnacentral:rRNA from 1 species